rnacentral:rRNA from 1 species
GAUGAACGCGGGCGGCGUGCUUAACACAUGCAAGUCGAACGAAGCACUUUUAUUUGAUUUCUUCGGCAUGAAGAUGUUAGUGACUGAGUGGCGGACGGGUGAGUAACGCGUGGGUAACUUGCCUCAUCCAGGGGGAUAACAGUUAGAAAUGCCUGCUAAUACCGCUUAAGACCACAGUACCGCAUGGCACAGGGGCAAAAACUCCGGGGGUAUGAGAUGGACCCGCGUCUGAUUAGGUAGUUGGUGGGGUACCGGCCUACCAAGCCGACGAUUAGUAGCAGACCUGAGAGGGUGACCGGCAACAUUGGGACUGAGACACGGCCAAAACUCCUACGGGAGGCAGCAGUGGGGAAUAUUGCACAAUGGGGGAAACCCUGAUGCAGCGACGCCGCGUGAGCGAUGAAGUAUUUCGGUAUGUAAAGCUCUAUCAGCAGGGAAGAAAAUGACGGUACCUGACUAAGAAGCACCGGCUAAAUACGUGCCAGCCGCCGCCGUAA